ACUUCUGGAACUUUUCUUAAGAUACUACCUAGAAGCAACACUUGAGGGGUUGAAUGUACAUCUCUUUGAUCAGAUCAUCUGAUUCUUUGCUUAGAAAAAGCAUCUACAUUUUGAUUUCAAGGGGUCUAUGUUUGAAUACUGAAGAAUAAAAAACCCGAACGGCGAAAUAUCGAAAGGAAGACGGCAAAACUGACAAUUACUGAACAUCACCGAAAAUUCAUCGAAUGGCCAUAGUUGGCCAACAACCAAGAAGUAACUUAAGAAAUCCAUCUGCAGGAAAAAGUGGAACAAACAUGCAAAAUGAAAUGUGGAUAAAUACAGAAAUUACAUCUCUCUGCUUCCUGAGAGUUGGUUAAUGUUGAGCUUACACAGUCCUCCUUGUGGAUGAAUGUUGGGGACAAAUGAAAAAAUAGUUUUUGGAACAUGAUUAUGGUGACAAAUUACAAGACAUCCCCUUCCCCCAGCAGGCAGGCAAAAACAGAGACAGAAUGUAUUUAUGAGUUUGCAGCUGCCAUCUGCCAGUGGUGCUGAAGCUAUGACAAAUGCAGCUGUAAUAACAGCAGUAAUCUGAAUGAGUGAGAGGGAGGCAAAUAAGAAGGAAAUGACCACUGACAAGACAGAAGUGAUGCACACUUGUUCGUUAAUGGAGACUGGGAGGUGAACACGAUAGCCAGCUUCAUUGAUUCAUGAUGAGAAAAUAUAAUGCAAAAGCAGGAACAAUCUGUAUCUCAUACUAAAGGCUUAUUUUGGACUAUAUUUAAUUUUCAAAUUUAAAAUGACCGUUCAUUGCUUAGUCUACAAUUUUUAGUACUAUAAUAAUUUUCUGUGUUAUGCGAGUGGAAAAAGUCCUAUCUGUAGAACAAACUAAUUUAUUGUAAUGUAUACUUUUCUGGUGCUGGUGCUAUUGCUUCUAACUAGAGAGAAUGUUGCUAGCAAUGAAAUAGUCAUAGAACUGUAGAUUUAGUGUCUGAUUUUCCCCAUAAGAUCGAUAUUACACAUUACCAAUGAAUAUCUACAUUCUUUAUCAAUAAUUUCCCAAUAGAUUCCUUGUUGUCCUUCCAGAACUGUGGUAUUCACCUACACACAUAAACGCACAUGUGCAUGCCUGCACAUACAAUUGCACUUGGAACACACAUGCACAAAAUGUGCAUAAAUACAUGUGUAGAUGUACACGUGUCUGCCGUCUUUCCAAAACUUGGUACUCAAUCUCUCACACACGCACAAUUACAUGUGUCUGCCAUCUGUGUAUAUGAAAGUGUGUGUGUGUAUAUUAUCAUAUGCAUGUGUAAAUGUAUACAUAGUAUGCAAUGCACAAAGCAUUACUCCUUUAUUGCAAUAACACAAAACCAUGGGUUGCCUUAUUUCUCUUAUAUAGUAGCUAAAGUCUAACAAUUAUAAUAUUACUUCUUUCUGUGUUUGAUCCAGGACCACUCAUGCUUUUAUUGUGUACAAUGCAAUCAUGGUCUUGAAUUUUAAAAGAAUGAGACUGCCUGAAAUGUAUUUUCUCCAUCACUUUCUCAUCUUUGCUCAUGUAGAAAAGAUUAUUAUUAGAAAUAUAGUUGUCAUAGUAGUGUACAGAGGCCUAUAGUUUUAAUAGUAGAUGUAGCCAGAAAAAGGAUACCUGUUAUAAGCUUAGUUAGCACAUUAAAGUCACUGUAAAAAAUUUAGACAGAACACCAUGCCUGUUUAAUUUGCAAUUCCAAUAUACUUCUAAGAAAUAUUUUACAUGGCAUCAGAAGUGAAAGUGUAUCUUCAAAGUACUAAACUGAUGAUUUGACCAGAAA